AGCGAACGCUGGCGGCAGGCCUAACACAUGCAAGUCGAACGGCUCUUCGGAGCAGUGGCGGACGGGUGAGUAACGCGUGGGAACGUGCCCUUUGGUUCGGAACAACACAGGGAAACUUGUGCUAAUACCGGAUGAGCCCUUCGGGGGAAAGAUUUAUCGCCAUUGGAGCGGCCCGCUUAGGAUUAGGUAGUUGGUGGGGUAAAGGCCCACCAAGCCGACGUUCCAUAGCUGGUCUGAGAGGAUGAUCAGCCACAUUGGAACUGAGACACGGCCCAGACUCCUACGGGAGGAAGCAGUGGGAAAUCUGGCGCAAUGGGCGAAAGCCUGACGCAGCCAUGUCGCGUGAAUGAUGAAGGUCUUAGGAUUGUAAAAUUCUUUCACCGGGGAAGAUAAUGACGGUACCCGGAGAAGAAGCCCCGGCUAACUUCGUGCCAGCCGCCGCCGUAAUAC
rnacentral:rRNA from 1 species